rnacentral:rRNA from 1 species
GACGAACGCCGGCGGCGUGCUUAACACAUGCAAGUCGAACGGAAAGGCCUGCUUUCCCUUGUGGAUUGCGGGUACUCGAGUGGCGAACGGGUGAGUAACACGUGAGUGAUCUGCCCCCAACCUGGGUAUAAGCCUGGGAAACUGGGUCUAAUUCCCGAUAGGACUGCAGGGUGGUGCCUGUGGUGGAAAACGAUUUUCUAGUGGUUGGGGAUGAGCUCGCGGCCUAUCAGCUUGUUGGUGGGGUAAUGGCCUACCAAGGCGGCGACGGGUAGCCGGCCUGGGAGGGUGGGCGGGCACAUUGGGACUGAGAUACGGCCCAGACUCCUACGGGAGGCAGCAGUGGGGAAUAUUGCACAAUGGGCGGAAGCCUGAUGCAGCGACGCCGCGUGGGGGAUGACGGGCUUCGGGUUGUAAACUCCUUUCGACCGCGAGGAAGCCACCUGGUUGGAAGGGUGGUGACGGUAGUGGUAGAAGAAGCACCGGCUAACUACGUG